rnacentral:rRNA from 1 species
ACUCCUACGGGAGGCAGCAGCUAAGAAUAUUCCGCAAUGGACGAAAGUCUGACGGAGCGACGCCGCGUGGAUGAUGAAGGCCGAAAGGUUGUAAAGUCCUUUUGCUGGGGAAGAAUAAGCGUGGGAGGGAAUGCCCGCGUGAUGACAUGAACCGGCGAAUAAGCCCCGGCUAACUACGUGCCAGCAGCCGCGGUAACACGUAGGGGGCGAGCGUUGUUCGGAAUUACUGGGCGUAAAGGGCAUGUAGGCGGCUUUGUAAGCUUGGCGUGAAAUUCCACGGCUUAACCGUGGGAAUGCGUUGAGAACUGCGAGGCUUGAGUGACGGAGAGGGAGCUAGAAUUCCUGGUGUAGGGGUGGAAUCUGUAGAGAUCAGGAAGAAUACCAAUGGCGAAGGCAAGCUCCUGGCCGAUGACUGACGCUGAGGUGCGAAAGUGUGGGGAUCAAACAGGAUUAGAUACCCUGGUAGUCCACACUGUAAACGAUGUACACUAGGUGCUGGGGCGGAUGCUUCAGUGCCGUAGCUAACGUGAUAAGUGUACCGCCUGGGGAGUAUGCUCGCAAGGGUGAAACUCAAAGGAAUUGACGGGG